UGGGGAAUAUUGGACAAUGGGCGCAAGCCUGAUCCAGCAAUGCCGCGUGAGUGAUGAAGGCCUUAGGGUUGUAAAGCUCUUUUACCAGGGAUGAUAAUGACAGUACCUGGAGAAUAAGCUCCGGCUAACUCCGUGCCAGCAGCCGCGGUAAUACGGAGGGAGCUAGCGUUGUUCGGAAUUACUGGGCGUAAAGCGCGCGUAGGCGGCAUGCCAAGUCAGGGGUGAAAUCCCGGGGCUCAACCCCGGAACUGCCCUUGAAACUGGCAAGCUAGAAUAUCGGAGAGGUAAGUGGAAUUCCGAGUGUAGAGGUGAAAUUCGUAGAUAUUCGGAAGAACACCAGUGGCGAAGGCGACUUACUGGACGAUUAUUGACGCUGAGGUGCGAAAGCGUGGGGAGCAAACAGGAUUAGAUACCCGUGUAGUCC
rnacentral:rRNA from 1 species